UGGUGCGUUAACUUUUGUAAUUUUAUUUGUUGAAAAAAAUAGACAAGAACAAAGAGUUCAUGAUUUCGAAUACAAUUUUUUAACACUCCACUUUUUGAUAUCGAACAACAACAUUCACAUCUGACAAUUAGUUUAAGCAUCGUAAAUACAAUAUGUCAUGUAACACUAAGAUCAGUGGCGGAUCAAGAACUUUUCCUAAGGGGGGGCC
rnacentral:lncRNA from 1 species